GACGAACGCUGGCGGCGUGCUUAACACAUGCAAGUCGAACGGAAAGGCCCUGCUUUUGUGGGGUGCUCGAGUGGCGAACGGGUGAGUAACACGUGAGUAACCUGCCCUUGACGUUGGGAUAACUUCAUGAAACUGGGGCUAAUACCGGAUAGGAGCUCCUGCUGCUUGGUGGGGGUUGGAAAGUUUCGGCGGUUGGGGAUGGACUCGCGGCUUAUCAGCUUGUUGGUGGGGUAGUGGCUUACCAAGGCUUUGACGGGUAGCCGGCCUGAGAGGGUGACCGGCCACAUUGGGACUGAGAUACGGCCCAGACUCCUACGGGAGGCAGCAGUGGGGAAUAUUGCACAAUGGGCGGAAGCCUGAUGCAGCAACGCCGCGUGCGGGAUGACGGCCUUCGGGUUGUAAACCGCUUUCGCCUGUGACGAAGCGUGAGUGACGGUAAUGGGUAAAGAAGCACCGGCUAACUACGUG
rnacentral:rRNA from 1 species